AGUAAAUUGGUUAAGUUAGAAAGGGCGCACGGUGGAUGCCUUGGCACUAGGAGCCGAAGAAGGACGGGACUAACACCGAUAUGCUUUGGGGAGCUGUACGUAAGCGUUGAUCCAGAGAUUUCCGAAUGGGGGAACCCACUAUCUUUAGUCGGAUAGUAUCCUUACGUGAAUACAUAGCGUGAGGAAGGCAGACCCAGGGAACUGAAACAUCUAAGUACCUGGAGGAAGAGAAAGAAAAAUCGAUUUCCUGAGUAGCGGCGAGCGAAACGGAAAGAGCCCAAACCAAGAAGCUUGCUUCUUGGGGUUGUAGGACACUCUAUACGGAGUUACAAAAGAAAGUUAUAAAUGAAGCGGUCUGGAAAGGCCCGCCAAAGACGGUAACAGCCCGGUAGUUGAAAUGGCUUUCCCUCCAGAGUGGAUCCUGAGUACGGCGGAACACGUGAAAUUCCGUCGGAAUCCGGGAGGACCAUCUCCCAAGGCUAAAUACUCCCUAGUGACCGAUAGUGAACCAGUACCGUGAGGGAAAGGUGAAAAG
rnacentral:rRNA from 2 species